GUCUAGGACCUCUGGGUGGUCGCGCUGAUUCCCAGCCAAUGCACCAAAUGAAAGACCCCCGAAGGGAGACCCUCACUCAGGCACUCAAGUCCCGGGACAGCCGCGUACCCAAGAAGACACUGAGACCA
rnacentral:pre_miRNA from 7 species